AUUGAACGCUGGCGGCAUGCCUUACACAUGCAAGUCGAACGGUAACAGGUCUUCGGAUGCUGACGAGUGGCGAACGGGUGAGUAAUACAUCGGAACGUGCCCGAUCGUGGGGGAUAACGGAGCGAAAGCUUUGCUAAUACCGCAUACGAUCUACGGAUGAAAGCAGGGGACCGCAAGGCCUUGCGCGGACGGAGCGGCCGAUGGCAGAUUAGGUAGUUGGUGGGAUAAAAGCUUACCAAGCCGACGAUCUGUAGCUGGUCUGAGAGGACGACCAGCCACACUGGGACUGAGACACGGCCCAGACUCCUACGGGAGGCAGCAGUGGGGAAUUUUGGACAAUGGGCGAAAGCCUGAUCCAGCCAUGCCGCGUGCAGGAUGAAGGCCUUCGGGUUGUAAACUGCUUUUGUACGGAACGAAAAGACUCUUUCUAAUAAAGAGGGUUCAUGACGGUACCGUAAGAAUAAGCACCGGCUAACUACGUGCCAGCCGCCGCCGUAACAC
rnacentral:rRNA from 1 species